AGUGAACGCUGGCGGUAGGCCUAACACAUGCAAGUCGAACGGCAGCACAGUAAGAGCUUGCUCUUACGGGUGGCGAGUGGCGGACGGGUGAGGAAUACAUCGGAAUCUACUUUUUCGUGGGGGAUAACGUAGGGAAACUUACGCUAAUACCGCAUACGACCUACGGGUGAAAGCAGGGGAUCUUCUGACCUUGCGCGAUUGAAUGAGCCGAUGUCGGAUUAGCUAGUUGGCGGGGUAAAGGCCCACCAAGGCGACGAUCCGUAGCUGGUCUGAGAGGAUGGUCAGCCACAUGGGAACGGGGACACGGUCCAGACUCCUACGGGAGGCAGCAGUGGGGAAUGUUGGACAAUGGGCGAAAGCCUGAUCCAGCCAUCCCGCGUGGGUGAAGAAGGCCUUCGGGUUGUAAAGCCCUUUUGUUGGGAGAGAAAAGCAGCAGGUUAAUACCCCGCUGUUCUGACGGUACCCAAAGAAUAAGCACCGGCUAACUUCGUG
rnacentral:rRNA from 1 species